AUUUCUAAACCUUGGUACCAAACCCCAACUUAGUCCACUCUCACCACGAAACAUAGCUUGCUUGAAAAGCAACUAAAUGGACACAUUUCUUGCACCUAUAUUUUGACACUAAUUAUCAUUUGGGGAUUUAAAGAGUGCAUUCCAGCCCCUAGGUCUAAAAAUCGAAGACUUUAAAAAAUUUUAAAAUCCUGGUACCAAGCACCAACUUAGUCCAGUCUCACAACCAAACAUAGCAUGCUUGAAAAGAAACAAAUUUGAAACAAUUCUUGCACCUAUAUUUUAACACUAUUCGUCAUUUGGGGAGUUAAAGAGUGCACUGCGGCCCCUAAGUCUAGAAAACCAAGACCUUCAAAAAUUUCCAAAUCUUGGCACCAAUCACCAACUUAGUCUUGUCUUCCCACUAAACAUAGCAUGCUUGAAAAGCAACUAACUUGAAACAUAUCUUCCACCUAUAUUUUGACACUAGACGUCAUUUGGGGAUUUAAAGAGUGCAACCCUAAGUCUAAAUAACCAAGACUUUAAAAAAUUUCCAAAUCUUGGCACGAAGCAAAUACUUAGUCCAGUCUCACCACCAAACAUAGCUUGCUUGAAAAGCAGCUAAAUGGACACAUUUCUUGCACCUAUAUUUUGACACUAAUUAUCAUUUGGGGAUUUAAAGAGUUCAUUCCAGCCCCUAAGUCUAAAAAAAAAAACCAAGAGUUUAAAAAAUUUCAAAAUCUUAGUACCACGCACCAACUUAUUCUUGUCUCACAAACAAAUAUAGCUUGCUUGAAAAGAAACUAAAUUAAAACAUUUCUUGCACCUAUAUUUUGACACUAGUCAUCAUUUGGAGACUUAAAGAGUGCAUUCCAACCCCAAAGUCUGAAAAACCAAGACUUUAAAAAAUUUCCAAACCUUGGUACCAAGCACCAACUUAGUCCAGUCUCACCACGAAACAUUGCUUGCUUGAAAAGCAACAAAGUGGACACAUUUCUUGCACCUAUAUUUUGACACUAAUUAUCAUUUGGGGAUUUAAAGAGU
rnacentral:lncRNA from 1 species